UUGUAGAUUCAAUCUACCUCAAAUUCCUUCAACAAUCUCCGAUUUAAUCACCAUUCAACGCUGUUUUCGUUUCUCUUCUUCUCUGAAGGUAAGUAUAAUUCUCAUGCCUUUAAUUUUCUCCUUUAUUGUAGAUUUCCCGAUUUUUUCCCGUUUCUCGUCUUCUCUGAACGUAAGUAUAAUUUUCAUGCCUUCAAUUUCUUCUUUACUGUAGAUUUUCAAAUUUUUUUGAGCCAUAGUGCAAGCAGCAGGUUACUGUUGUCGCUGAUUGCAAUAUGUUUAUUUAAGUAUAUAUUAACUUGUUCCAUAAAUCGUGCAAGUCCAAGUACUUUGUUCCAUCCAAUAUGGACAUUUAUAAUCUGUAGAAAGUAUAAAUAUGUAUCACAAGUUUGUUGGAAAAGUUCAUGUAAUAGAAAUGAAAUUUAAAUCUACACUCUGCUUUUUUGGUGUUUAUACAUUCUUGUUUGAUCUUCUAGAUUUUAGAAAAGUUUUGUAUUCCAAAUAAUACAUGUCAAAAAAUUAAAAAUUAAAAAUAUUGUAGUUUAUAUGGGGUUUACUUUCUGUUGAACCAGAUAUUUGAGCUAAUAAUAAUGGUGCAUUGGACGGAGGGGAUGAAAUGAUGUUAGGAAAUGGAAGAGGAAAGAGGGGAUUGGAGAAAAGGAGGAGGGUUAUUGAUGUUGAAAAUGGAGAGGUUGGGGAGUAGGUUUUCCAAUUUCAAAUUUUGAAACCCAUGUGCAAUUUUUUUUCUUUUUUUAAACUUCUGGAUGAGCUGUUUAAUAUCUUGUUUCUGAUUUCUGCUUCAGCUUGCCUUAUCACUUCAAUCUGAUGUUCGUUCUUUGAUAUUGUGCGAGGUUUUCAUUGAACAUUAUCAAAGGAAAAAUAAUAAAAAUACUUUUAUUAUAUACACUUAGCUAUAUAAAGAAGUUCGUAUACGCCUGACCAUAUCCUUCAUGAAUGCAAACAAAUUCUUUACAUCCAAAUCCUUGCGAGACUAAAACAUCAUGCUUUUCACUUUCAAUUUCUCAGACCUGAUUUUGUAUUGUUGCUGAGGCAAUGAGGCAGAUUUUACUAUUUUCAUUAGUAAAACAAAUAUUGUCUCCAACUCUUUGUCCAUAUUUUUACUUCAAUUUGACGUUCAUUCGUUAACAUUGUGCAAGGUUUGACUGCUAUCCAUCUCUGGAAUUUUCUCCUCUUCAUUUCGCUUCGGUCACUUCUUUCUCUUCUAGAAGUUUACCUUCCUUUGAUAAUGUUCAAUUAGAUUGUACAUUGAAAUUACUCGUUGUUAUUGAUGUCCUAAGUAUAUUGUGUUGUUUUGUAUCUGCUUCAACGUAGCAAUAUACUCUUUCGGUUCUCUUUCACAUGAAGGGUUAGAACUCAUCUGUUAUCUUUUUAGCAAUUUGAACUUUUUUGUUUGCUUUGAUUUCAUUAUUUCUAUUUUUUACAAGUUAUAAAAUCCGCGUUCAAUAUUUUUUCCUUGACUUUUGGCGCAGUUGCCCUUCUAAUUUGAAUUUGACCGAUGUUUGUUGAUAUUAUGCGAGGUCUCACUGAUAUUCAUCUGGGGGAUUUUCUCCUUUUUAUUGUUCUAUUUAUAAUUUGAAUGAAUUAAAGGUUCCUCUUUAAGAUGUUCCAUUUUUUCCGUUUAGCUUUUGAAGCACACUGAAAUAAAAUCUAAUGGAUUGCAUAUUUUCCCUAGAUGGAAAAUAUCUAGAUUUGUUCAAAAAAGAAAUUCUACCAGUCUACUCUCCAUUUUUUCCAUAUCUUCCAAAGAAAUUCUUACAUAUUAACGUAGUCAUCUUUAAUUGUACAAUUCCAUAUCUUCUAUAUUUCAUUUCGUGCUGAAUUUAAUUUAAUUAAUUUCAAUCUCAUUAUUUGUCUGAUUCGUUCUCUGCGAUUUGAUUUCCUGGUUCCCUAAUCCGUCUUUCGUUGGUCCCUCUCAUUCUUCUAUUGUUGUCGUACCGUGAACUCUACCAGUUUUGUUAAACGGUGAAGCUAGGAAGGCUCAUACAGAGAACGAAGAGAAGACAGUUUGUGCACGGUCUUAUUCUUUAAGAAAUUAUGGCCAGGUGAAAAAACAAGUUCCUGAAAGUUGAUACUGGAUUUUGAUUUUGAUUGUUGCAUUAGAACGAGAUUGAUGAAGGACAUGGGCAAUGCAAAUGGCAAAGUAGAGGUUAUGGUGAUUGGUUGUGUUGAUUAUGAUGGGUCUUUUCUAAAACGUGCAGCCAAAUACUUGUUUGAAGUGUUGGAAAGAAGGAAAGAUGGUUUAACUGAAAGAUAUAUCUUCAGUCUCUCCCUCUUUAUUUGCAUACAUCAAAUAUAUUUGAGUUACUUAUUAAGUUCAAGACAAUUUUUGGAAAUUUAUUUCAAUUAAUUUUCUUUGAUGUUCGAAUUGUAGCGAUCGGGAAAAAAAAAAUAUUUUGUUUCGUU
rnacentral:lncRNA from 1 species